rnacentral:rRNA from 1 species
GACGAACGCUGGCGGCGUGCUUAACACAUGCAAGUCGAACGAUGAAGUUCCUUCGGGAAUGGAUUAGUGGCGAACGGGUGAGGAACACGUGAGAAACCUGCCUUUCAUUUUGGGAUAACUCCGGGAAACCGGGGCUAACACCGAAUACUCCGUCUCGCCGCCAUCGCCGAGCCGGGAAACAAUUUUGAUGAAAGAGGGUCCCGCGGCCUAUCAGCUAGUUGGUGGGGUAACGGCUCACCAAGGCAACGACGGGUAGCCGGCCUGAGAGGGCGACCGGCCACACUGGGACUGAGACACGGCCCAGACUCCUACGGGAGGCAGCAGUGGGGAAUAUUGGGCAAUGGGCGCAAGCCUGACCCAGCGAUGCCGCGUGAGGGAUGAAGGCCUUCGGGUUGUAAACCUCUUUCAGUAGGGAAGAAGCGAAAGUGACGGUACCUAAAGAAGAAGCACCGGCUAACUAUGUGCCAGCCGCCGCUGUAA